rnacentral:rRNA from 1 species
ACUCCUACGGGAGGCAGCAGUAAGGAAUAUUGGACAAUGGGCGGGAGCCUGAUCCAGCCAUCCCGCGUGCGGAAGAAGGCGCUCUGCGUCGUAAACCGCUUUUGCAGGGGAGAAACGCCCCGGCGUGCCGGGGCCUGACGGUACCCUGCGAAUAAGCACCGGCUAACUCCGUGCCAGCAGCCGCGGUAAUACGGAGGGUGCGAGCGUUAUCCGGAAUCACUGGGUUUAAAGGGUGCGCAGGCGGCGCGCUAAGUCAGGGGUGAAAUCCCGCCGCUCAACGGUGGAACUGCCCUUGAUACUGGCGUGCUCGGAUUGGCGCGAGGCAGGCGGAAUGUGGCAUGUAGGCGGUGAAAUGCUUAGAUAUGCCAUAGAAACACCGAUUGCGAAGGCAGCCUGCCAGAGCCACAUCGACCGCUGAGGCACGAAAGCGUGGGGAGCGAACAGGAUUAGAUACCCUGGUAGCUACGAG